GGGUACUCGAGUGGCGAACGGGUGAGUAACACGUGGGUGAUCUGCCUUGCACUUCGGGAUAAGCUUGGGAAACUGGGUCUAAUACCGGAUAGGACAGCUGUUUAGUGUCAGUUGUGGAAAGUUUUUUCGGUGCAAGAUGAGCUCGCGGCCUAUCAGCUUGUUGGUGGGGUAAUGGCCUACCAAGGCGUCGACGGGUAGCCGGCCUGAGAGGGUGUACGGCCACAUUGGGACUGAGAUACGGCCCAGACUCCUACGGGAGGCAGCAGUGGGGAAUAUUGCACAAUGGGCGGAAGCCUGAUGCAGCGACGCCGCGUGGGGGAUGAAGGCCUUCGGGUUGUAAACUCCUUUCGACAGGGACGAAGCGUAAGUGACGGUACCUGUAUAAGAAGCACCGGCUAACUACGUGCCAGCAGCCGCGGUAAUACGUAGGGUGCGAGCGUUGUCCGGAAUUACUGGGCGUAAAGAGCUCGUAGGUGGUUUGUCGCGUCGUCUGUGAAAUUCCGGGGCUUAACUCCGGGCGUGCAGGCGAUACGGGCUGACUUGAGUGCUGUAGGGGAGACUGGAAUUCCUGGUGUAGCGGUGAAAUGCGCAGAUAUCAGGAGGAACACCGAUGGCGAAGGCAGGUCUCUGGGCAGUAACUGACGCUGAGGAGCGAAAGCAUGGGUAGCGAACAGGAUUAGAUACCCUGGUAGUCCAUGCCGUAAACGGUGGGCGCUAGGUGUAGGGGGCUUCCACGUCUUCUGUGCCGUAGCUAACGCAUUAAGCGCCCCGCCUGGGGAGUACGCCGCAAGGC
rnacentral:rRNA from 1 species